GAUGAAGAACGUAGCGAAAUGCGAUAAGUAGUGUGAAUUGCAGAAUUCAGUGAAUCAUCGAAUCUUUGAACGCACAUUGCGCCCUUUGGUAUUCCUUAGGGCAUGCCUGUUCGAGCGUCAUUUAAACCUUCAAGCUCAGCUUGGUGUUGGGUGACUGUCCGCCGCCUCCGGGCGCGUGGACUCGCCUCAAAAUUAUUGGCGGCCGGUACAUUGGCUUCGAGCGCAGCAGAAACGCGAACUCGGGCCCGUCGUAUUGGCUCCCAGAAGCUAUCUUCACAAUUUUGACCUCGGAUCAGGUAGGGAUACCCGCUGAACUUAAGCAUAUCAAAAGCGGAGGA
rnacentral:misc_RNA from 1 species